CUGAAAAACCGGUUCUCGUACAAUCACCGAAGUUAAGCUACGUUGAUCCUGGACAGUACCUAGUUGGGUGACCGCUUGAGAAUACCAGGUGCUGUAA